AACGAACGCUGGCGGCAUGCCUAACACAUGCAAGUCGAACGAGAUCUUCGGGUCUAGUGGCGCACGGGUGCGUAACGCGUGGGAAUCUGCCCUUUGGUUCGGAAUAACAGUUGGAAACGACUGCUAAUACCGGAUGAUGACGAAAGUCCAAAGAUUUAUCGCCAGAGGAUGAGCCCGCGUAGGAUUAGCUAGUUGGUGUGGUAAAGGCGCACCAAGGCGACGAUCCUUAGCUGGUCUGAGAGGAUGAUCAGCCACACUGGGACUGAGACUCGGCCCAGACUCCUACGGGAGGCAGCAGUGGAGAAUAUUGGACAAUGGGCGAAAGCCUGAUCCAGCAAUGCCGCGUGAGUGAUGAAGGCCUUAGGGUUGUAAAGCUCUUUUACCCGGGAUGAUAAUGACAGUACCGGGAGAAUAAGCUCCGGCUAACUCCGUGCCAGCCGCCGCGGUAA
rnacentral:rRNA from 1 species